CCUACGGGAGGCAGCAGUGGGGAAUUUUGGACAAUGGGGGCAACCCUGAUCCAGCCAUGCCGCGUGAGUGAAGAAGGCCUUCGGGUUGUAAAGCUCUUUCGGACAGAAAGAAAUCGCACUGAUUAAUACUCAGUGUGGAUGACGGUACUGUAAGAAGAGGCACCGGCUAACUACGUGCCAGCAGCCGCGGUAAU
rnacentral:rRNA from 1 species